AGCGAACGCUGGCGGCAGGCUUAACACAUGCAAGUCGAACGGGCAUCUUCGGAUGUCAGUGGCGGACGGGUGAGUAACACGUGGGAACGUACCCUUCGGUUCGGAAUAACUCAGGGAAACUUGAGCUAAUACCAGAUACGCCCUUUUGGGGAAAGGUUUACUGCCGAAGGAUCGGCCCGCGUCUGAUUAGCUUGUUGGUGGGGUAACGGCCUACCAAGGCGACGAUCAGUAGCUGGUCUGAGAGGAGGAUCAGCCACACUGGGACUGAGACACGGCCCAGACUCCUACGGGAGGCAGCAGUGGGGAAUAUUGGACAAUGGGCGCAAGCCUGAUCCAGCCAUGCCGCGUGAGUGAUGAAGGCCUUAGGGUUGUAAAGCUCUUUUGUCCGGGACGAUAAUGACGGUACCGGAAGAAUAAGCCCCGGCUAACUUCGUG
rnacentral:rRNA from 1 species